GUGCCAGCCGCCGCGGUAAUACGGAGGGUGCAAGCGUUAAUCGGAAUUACUGGGCGUAAAGCGCACGCAGGCGGUUUGUUAAGUCAGAUGUGAAAUCCCCGGGCUCAACCUGGGAACUGCAUCUGAUACUGGCAAGCUUGAGUCUCGUAGAGGGGGGUAGAAUUCCAGGUGUAGCGGUGAAAUGCGUAGAGAUCUGGAGGAAUACCGGUGGCGAAGGCGGCCCCCUGGACGAAGACUGACGCUCAGGUGCGAAAGCGUGGGGAGCAAACAGGAUUAGAUACCCUUGUAGUCC
rnacentral:rRNA from 1 species